GCCCUACACAAGAGGACAACAGUUGGAAACGACUGCUAAUACUCUAUACUCCUGCUUAACACAAGUUGAGUAGGGAAAGUUUUUCGGUGUAGGAUGAGACUAUAUAGUAUCAGCUAGUUGGUAAGGUAAUGGCUUACCAAGGCUAUGACGCUUAACUGGUCUGAGAGGAUGAUCAGUCACACUGGAACUGAGACACGGUCCAGACUCCUACGGGAGGCAGCAGUAGGGAAUAUUGCGCAAUGGGGGAAACCCUGACGCAGCAACGCCGCGUGGAGGAUGACACUUUUCGGAGCGUAAACUCCUUUUCUUAGGGAAGAAUUCUGACGGUACCUAAGGAAUAAGCACCGGCUAACUCCGUGCCAGCAGCCGCGGUAAUACGGAGGGUGCAAGCGUUACUCGGAAUCACUGGGCGUAAAGGGCGCGUAGGCGGAUUAUCAAGUCUCUUGUGAAAUCUAAUGGCUUAACCAUUAAACUGCUUGGGAAACUGAUAGUCUAGAGUGAGGGAGAGGCAGAUGGAAUUGGUGGUGUAGGGGUAAAAUCCGUAGAUAUCACCAAGAAUACCCAUUGCGAAGGCGAUCUGCUGGAACUCAACUGACGCUAAGGCGCGAAAGCGUGGGGAGCAAACAGGAUUAGAUACCCUGGUAGUCCACGCCCUAAACGAUGUACACUAGUUGUUGGGGUGCUAGUCAUCUCAGUAAUGCAGCUAACGCAUUAAGUGUACCGCCUGGGGAGUACGGUCGCAAGAUUAAAACUCAAAGGAAUAGACGGGGACCCGCACAAGCGGUGGAGCAUGUGGUUUAAUUCGAAGAUACGCGAAGAACCUUACCUGGGCUUGAUAUCCUAAGAACCUUUUAGAGAUAAGAGGGUGCUAGCUUGCUAGAACUUAGAGACAGGUGCUGCACGGCUGUCGUCAGCUCGUGUCGUGAGAUGUUGGGUUAAGUCCCGCAACGAGCGCAACCCACGUAUUUAGUUGCUAACGGUUCGGCCGAGCACUCUAAAUAGACUGCCUUCGUAAGGAGGAGGAAGGUGUGGACGACGUCAAGUCAUCAUGGCCCUUAUGCCCAGGGCGACACACGUGCUACAAUGGCAUAUACAAUGAGACGCAAUACCGCGAGGUGGAGCAAAUCUAUAAAAUAUGUCCCAGUUCGGAUUGUUCUCUGCAACUCGAGAGCAUGAAGCCGGAAUCGCUAGUAAUCGUAGAUCAGCCAUGCUACGGUGAAUACGUUCCCGGGUCUUGUACUCACCGCCCGUCACACCAUGGGAGUUGAUUUCACUCGAAGCCGGAAUACUAAACUAGUUACCGUCCACAGUGGAAUCAGCGACUGGGGUGAAGUCGUAACAAGGUAACCGUAGGAGAACCUGCGGUUGGAUCACCUCCU
rnacentral:rRNA from 1 species